rnacentral:lncRNA from 1 species
UUGGGUGUGGUUAUUUCUGAAGGGGAUGGAAAAUAUUUAGGCGUUCCUACUAUUGUCGGAAGAUCCAAAAAGGAAGUCUUAGAUUAUGUACAGGAUCGCAUCUGGAAAUGUGUUAAGGGGUGGAAGGAAAAGCUCCUAUCUCAGGCAGGUAAGGAAAUUCUCAUUAAAGAUGUUGCGUAAGCCAUUCCCACAUUUAGUGAUGAGAUCAUGGCUUUGAUAGCUAAAUAUUGGGGGGGAGGAUCUGAAAAUGUUCGCAAAAUCUAUUGGAGGAGAUGGGAUAGUCUUUGCAUUGGGAAGUUGGAAGGGGGAAUGGGUUUUAAAAACUUAUCAGCUUUCAAUAUGGCUCUUCUAGCAAAACAGGCCUGGAGGCUCUGAACAUAUCCCAAUUCUUUGGCGGGUAGAGUUCUCAAGGGAAAAUACUAUCCAGGGUCUCUUAUUACCCAAGCUCAACUAGGUAGCAAUCCAUCGUACAAGUGACGCAGCAUUUGGGGAAGUCUUGAAUUGCUUAAUGCGGGGCUUAGAUGGCGAGUUGGGAAUGGGAAUAGUAUCCUUAUUUGGGGUGUGAAUUGGCUGCCAACACCACCUUCUUUCAAAGUUUUUAGCCCACAAAUUCCAGGCAUGGAGGAAGCUCUCAUGUCUGUAUGGGCGUGUUAGAAAAUCUCUCAAAUAUGGGCGUGUUGAUCAAUGAUGCAAAGAAGUUACAGAGGACUUUUCCUGAUUCGAAAUGCUCUCAUGUCUGUAUAGAAGGGAACAGAGUAGCUCAUUUUCUGGUGCGCAUGGCAGUCAAGUCAGAAGGCUUUCAAGCAUGGGUGGAAGAAGUUCCAGAUUUCAUUGCACCUGUGGUUUCUGCAGAAGCUCCAGACUUGACUUAGCUUUUGCCUCUUUUCUUUUUGUUGAUGUUAUAGGUCUAUGGUUUCUCUAGUUUUGUCAAACUUGCAAAAACAAAAAAUGGCUUAUUAAAAUUGUAUUUUAAAAAUAAUGCAGUUAUUGUGGAGGUGUGGGUUUAGGAAAAGAAAGAAAGAAAAUCGAGGAUAAAAACUUGCGGUGGAUCUGCAGUGGAUGAAGGUGGCCGCGGACAAUGGUUGGUUGCAGUGGCCUAGUUGCGAUACAAAAACAGUGAUAUCGGGUGCCGUAACUAUUUCCAACGGUUAAGUUAAAUGAUCGAAAAAUGUAUGUAGAGAGAGACCGAGAAUAUGAGUCUUUUUCAGCUAGAUGCGCACACCUGUCAGAGAAUAAGUGCUGACCUUAUAUAGCACAGUUCGAUGCAUGCCCUGACGUGCCAAUUGUCGUGUCAUUGGACAGACUGCAGUUCGGCGCGUGCCUGGACACACUGACUGCUGUGUCAGUAAGUAGGCAACUAACCCAACCAUACUCCUAGGGCCUGAUUGGUAACUUGUCAUCAUGUCGUCGAUGUAGGCGUGGGGCUGUCAGAAGAAAUUUUGCCGUGCAAAUUACUUUUUGUCCCAUAACAUGCCUCAGGAUCGCCGCAAACAGUUGACCCUCGGCCAAACUCCGAUGCAAUUAUCCUACCGAGCUUGCCCUAGCAAGGCCUAAACUCGUACUCGUGUAAUUUAUCUCCUCACAGUCACAUAACAUUAAGUACACACGAUUGUAUCAUACAGUAAAAAGAUGCUUGUAUUAAAAAAUAGCGCACAAUGCACUGUAGGAGUGAGUAUGCCAAAUUUUAGCACUAUAGCAUGCUAAAAUAUAAAAUUAGCACGAUUGAUGAUCAUGUUAAAAAAUAGUACAAUUCACAGUUAUGUCAAAUUAUAGCACUGUAUCAUGCUUAAAUAUAAAAAUAGCACGAUUGAAAUCAUAUAAUCUGUUGGAGAAUUAAUCUGUGAAAGAGUGUUGAGGGGAGAACAAAUGGCUAUGGCUUCUGCUUACAGCAUCAAAAUGGAAACUGCUGUUCUGGACGAUUUUUACUAAUUACCCGGAUCUCAGUUACACCAGUUCAUGACUAAACUUACUAUUUCAUUGGUUAAAUUUUUUAAUUAUAAGGUUAACUACCUACAUUGGUAAUAGGUAAAACUUUUUUUUUGUGUGUUUCUUUAGAUAUUACCAAUCCCACUCCACCUACUACUCUCUCCAGAAAAUGUUAUCUUUUUCUUAAGACACAUUAAGGUUAAAACAUAAUUUUUAGAGUGAGAAUAUCAAACUAGUAACUUUUUUAAUUUAUAAUUGAUUUAGAUAAUAAUGUAAAAUAACUUUCUAGGAAUAUAAAUGAUAUAUUUUAGAUAAAUAUUUUUUUUAAAAAAUACUGUAUUAUGAACAAAAAUAAUUUUUUAAAUAGCCUAUAUUAAUCACCAAAUUAAAAGAAAUUAAUAAGAAAUUUAACAAACAACCUAAAAAAAUAAAGUUAUAUUGUACAAAAGAAGUGUUAAAAUUGAUAAUUAGAACUGUUUAUUUCUAAAUUUUUUAAUUUGAAAAUAUAAAGCUUUUAAAAUUAACUAUUUCUUUGUAAAUCAUACAUGGGAGAGAGGGGAAUGGAAGAAACUUGAAUAUAGAUGGUUCUUUGGCCUUUUCUUUGUCUCACAUCUCUAGAGGUUGAGAAAUCCAGCGCACGCCAUCUAAACUAUUUCAAGUUUCCUCUAUAAAUCAUUUACUUCACUUGUUAAGAAAACAAAGCUCGAACAUAAUUUUAAAGAUGACUAAAUUUUUAAACCAAGCUUGAACAAUCUACUCUUCAGCUCAUAUAUCAUAUGGAUGGCAAAAAAAGUCCGACCCGAGUACUUGACCCACACGAAAACAAAAGGGGCAGGUUUAAAUAAAGUUUCUACCCAAUAGGGUACGGAUUUUAAAAAUUACUACCCAACCAAAUGCAGAUAGGGUACGAUUUACAAAAAAAUCUGCCUGAAAAUCGACCCACCUCGCCGUAAUAAUUGUACUAAUUAGACUUAUACAAUAGUAUAUGCAUUUAUACAAAAGUAUUGGUUUAUGAUUUAUAUAAGUCUUUUUAUUCAAUUGCACUCCUUUUUUGUUUUUGUUGGAGUGAAUUUACAUCCUUGUAAACACAAAUUUCUCGCCUAGAAAUCAAAGACUAAAAAUUGCGGUCAAAAUUGAAUUUUAUUGAUUUGGAAUAAACAAGUACAAUCUUUAAUAAAUUUCUAAUCAGAGAAAUGAUCAUUUGAUUUUUCUCUUUUGAGAGUUUGCAAAGGUGCUGGCAAACUUGAGUUGUUGACUCAAGAGCUCAACGGCUUGUUCUCAAAUCUAAUAGCGCCAUCUUCUUCAAUCUAGCGAAUAUACUAGCGCACUUGAUUUGUUGGGGUCGUUAACAAAUCCAACAUGGCUUCGUCGCCCAAUCAAACCAAGCCACGAGAGAAGUUGUUCGGGGUCUUCGAGACUUCAAUCUGCCGUGACGUCCUUGUUGCUUGAUUUGAUGGUUUUGGAAGCUUAAAUUCAACGAAAUUUUCUCUCUUCUUGAUUUCUGCCAUUGUUAUGUGGACUUGCUAUAUGGCUUGCUUGAACGAGAAAGCUAAGUCUUCUCUCUCUACACUUGAUUUGUGUUUGUCAAGACUCUUUUUUUGUGAUCUUUUGAUCUUCUUCUUAUUUAGAAUUAUGGUGGAGAUUAUCCUUAUUUAUAGGGCAUGAGAGAUGGAGAGUCAUAAUAUAACUCUACUGCUUUGAUAAUUAUCUUUAUAUUUUUAAUUUAAAAAGAUAAAUAUCAAUUUUUUUAGAGGUAAAUACAAAAAUAUUAACUUGAAUAUUUAUCUCUUUAUUUGUGGAGAUAUAUAUUUAUUUUAAAGUUAUGCCACAAUUUAAUUGGCUUGACCACUUUAACGUGACAAGUGGCAAUUUGUAAUUGGCCAAAAUUUUUGAUGCCUACAGUCCUUCUAUUUAGUGAAAAUAUUUGAGUAUAAGUGAGUAUUUAAAUAAAUUCACCCUAAUAAUAGACAUAAAAAAGAGUCAAAUUGGUUAAAAAUGAAGUGCAAAAAUCACUAACCUAAGCAUUUAGGUUAGAUUUUGUAACUAUUUAAUAAAUUAUCCCUUUAUUGGUAAAAAAAAAUGUGGGGCCAGUAAUCAAAAAAUUCACGAGGGACAAGGGUAGAGGAUACGGAAAAAAAUCGGUGCAGAUUGAAGGUCAUGGCAAGUUUUUUAAUACUAUGUGAGUUUCAGAUAUAGAUUUUGUAAAACCUGCCUUGCCCUACACUCCGUUGCCAUCUCUAGCCCCACGAAUUUUUUUGAUGUUUUAACCUCUUCAUUGGAACUUUUUCUCUCCAAAUCCAAAUUCUAAGUCCUUUGAACGGGGUUGCCUCACCCUGGUAAAAGAGAGAGCUGGUCUGGAAUUAGGCAUACCCAAAUUUCAAAAUUUCAACCCCACCUCUUGUCUUCCUUCACAACAAACUAGUAUUUCUCCGAUUAAUUUCUUCAACAGAAGGCUCUUCUUCAAGAGAAUCACCUAACGCAGAUUCGUUCGAGGUCUCUUACGUGAUAAAUUCAUGUGGGUUGUCACCAGAAACGUAUUUGCAAAUAUAUUUUGUUAUCCAAUUUAAAGGCAAUCUUAUUAUUUUUGUCAAAGAAAUUAAUGGAAGGUAAAAUCUUGAUAAUAAUUUCGAAAUAGGGGAGCUCAAUGAUAUUAAGAAACCUCAGGAAGAAAUUUACCCAAUAAAAAAGGUAUUUAUUGAGGGCAUGUAAGAUUUUUCACCAUAAAACUUAAUGUUUUGGGGGCAAAAUAGACCAGAGAAGAGAAUUUUGACAUUAUUUUUAAAAGCAACCGGUGAUAUUAUUUAAAUUAAAAGAGAUGUUAGUGAUAUUUUAAAAAAUCUCGAGAGUGGUAAGUGAAAUUUGACCUACUUUUUUUACCAAACCCAAAUUCCAACUUAUUUGAAAAGGUGUACCCCUCCCUGGUAAAAGACAGAGCUGGUGUGGCAAUAUGAAUACCCAAAUUCCAACUUAUUUGAAAAGGUGUACGCCUCCCUGGUAAAAGACAGAGCUGGUGUGGCAAUAUGAAUACCCAAAUUCUUUUCAUUGUCUCUCCAUAAUUGGAUUGUACCGGUCAA